UUCUCGGGUCACGACCAGUGGUCACGAGACAUUACUGUCCGCGCCCGCAUGAAACUUUCGACUGUAAAUCAAUAACGGUCUCAAUUUCAAUGGAUGGACAGUCAUAACAUCAGUUUUCACUUGUAUGGAGUCGACCACAACUGUUAUUAUGAACAUCGGUAAUAUAAAGUAUUAUAAGUAGAUCGUGUUUUUCCGUAGGAUCCAUGAGAAGUCAGUGACUGCAAGACAAAACUUAUUUUUCAAAUCAUAGUGUCUGGUGUAUUCGUGAUAAAUGGAGGAGGCUUACACAGCGCUGUACCAGGGGUUUCUUCACCUCCAGUCAGUCUGCUUAAAACAAGCACAGCAUCUACAGCAUCUUUCUGACAUAAUACAAAGACAGCAUGAUUCGUCCUCAGCACCUAACUUGGAGGUCCCUCCAUGCCAGUGUGCACAGUCACAUCCUGCAGAAGAACCUCAAAGGCUUUCCACUGGAUCACAUUGUCAAAGUAGAAUAUUAUUGUUUUAUUCAUGUUAUACUUUGGCCUUUCACUUUCUCUUUUUUUGGGAGGGAAAACCUUAACAAUUACUCUUAGUCUUGGAUGCA